AUUCCUUACAAUACAUAUAGCUAGCUAGUCAUCAAAUGCCUUGCAAUGUGCCAUGUCAAAUUCCUCAUCAAAUCCAGACCAAACAAAAACUCUAACAAUCAUCAAGUUUUGUGGACAAAUUAAUCUUAAACCAACUUCUUACUUUUGUUCUUAAUGAGAAAUGUGAUCAUUCUAUCCUUACCCGAGUUACUUUGCAAUCCCAACCGUCAAUCAACUGACAGUCUUCACUUGUCUGUAAUUCUUCACGGCCCGCCGCUCCGCCAGCCGUACGAUGUGGCCGUGGUGGUUGCUGAGAUUGGAGUCUCCGGCGACUGAGAACCAUAACCCUGAUCCUAAUUAGGAACUUUGAUUGAAGCACUGGACUUCAAGUGAUGAUUUUUAUCUCCCCAUUUUGACCAUGGAGGUUCUCUAAUAUAACAGAGUUUGCCUGAGGGCGGUUUUUGUGGUUGUGGUGAUGGGAUUUUGAAGCUGUUUUCAUUUUGGAGCGGCUUGGGCUUUGGUGGGUUUUGGCUAUGGAGUCUAAGGAGCUCAAUUUGAAGAAGCACUCUGAAAAUGGUGGUGGUGGUGGUGAUGGGUUCAUUGACAGAAGCAAAGUGAGGAUCUUGUUGUGUGAUAACGACGAGUACAGUUCGGAAGAGGUUUUUGCCCUUCUUCUGAAAUGCUCUUACCAGGUCAUUUCAGUGAGGUCUCCAAGACAGGUGAUUGAAGCAUUGAAUGCUGAAGCACCUGAUAUAGAUAUCAUACUUUCCGAAGUUGACCUUCCCAUGAGAAAAGGCUUGAAAAUGUUGAAGUAUAUCACACAGGAUAGAGAGUUAAGGCGCAUUCCUGUAAUCAUGAUGUCAGCACAAGAUGAGGUCUCUACUGUUGUUAAGUGCUUGAAGCUUGGAGCAGCAGACUAUCUCGUAAAGCCUUUACGAACUAAUGAGCUUCUAAACUUGUGGACACACAUGUGGAGAAGAAGGCGCAUGUUUUCUACUGCUGCUGCUAUGGAGUUUCCAGUCAAUAAUGUAUCAGAAUUUCGGCCUGAUGUCCCAGGAAUACAUGACCACCAAGCUGGAAAAUCUUCAUCUGGCCCAAAAAAGAGUAAACUAAAGAUGGGAGAGUCAUCAUCAUUCUUUACAUAUGUUAAAUCAAGCACGCUUGGCUGCGCUGAAGACAAUGUUGUUGAACAAGUGAGGAUAAAAGAGAAACAUCAAGCAUUUGCUUACCAAGUUGUUGAUGAUCCCCAAGUACACGUAAGUCGAGAGGCACAGGAAAGCAAUUCAGAAGGAGAUGACUUGCAGAGCAGUAAUAGUAGUGUUCCAGAUUCCCUUUCAUUGGAGGGGUCUUGUACCCCACUUGGAUCAAUGUUACUUCGACAUGAAAAGAAUUUUGAGAAAGACCAAUCCUCACUGGUGCUUGUGCAUCCAAGAAAUGAACUUCAACAAGAUUUUUCUGGCUUACCUGCCCAAGCUGCCUAUCCGUAUUAUAUUCCAGGGGUUGUGAAUCAAGUUAUGAUGUCAUCAUCAACACAAGUGCAUCAAAAGAAUCCGCAUGACAUGCAAAAUCAUUCUACAACCGCUAUUAUGCCACAAUACAAUCAUCUUCCGCACUGCCCUCCAGAUGUAACUGGGAUGACUCCAUUCCCCUGCUACCAGUUUAGCAUAUGCUUACAACCUGGUCAAAUUCCUAAUACUCAUCCAUGGCCAUCACUUGGAAUUUCAUCUUCCACUGAAGUGAAAUUAAAUAAGGUUGACAGAAGAGAGGCAGCAUUGAUUAAAUUUAGGAAAAAAAGAAUGGAGCUUUGUUUUGAUAAAAAGAUCAGGUAUGUUAACCGAAAGCGACUUGCUGAAAGGAGACCUCGUGUGCGGGGACAAUUUGUGAGAAAGGUAAGUGGUGUAAAUCUGGAGCUUCAGUCAAGGGAGUACUCUCCAGAAGAUGGUUCUUCUGGAUGUUAAAGUCAUUCUUAUUGGACAUGAACUGGAAUUUUCUAAUUCCUAAGAUGUGAUAAUUACUUUGUAGUUGUAAAAGUUUUGUUUUGGAAGUUCCUGCAUGCAUCUUUAGAUGCUCCCUAUGUGGAUGCAUGAGAAUUUGGCCGCUCUGUCUAAUUGGAGUAUCCAAUGAGCAUCAUCAUACCGGUUGAAAAAUAUUGGUCAAGGGUUCAAGCUUCUCGUUCUAAUUUCAAUCAAAUAAAAAAUCAGAUCAUUGUCUUCAACUUGUUCAGGAUUGCAAAAGCCCGAAAGACAAAUGAUAUAGAGCUCGUCAAUCAACUAUUCCACCGCAAAUUCUGUUUGCUAGGAUUGGAAGCAUUCAUCGUUGGUUCAUCGCCAUGUUCAAAAUCCAAAUGGGAAAUAGAUUUUAUCGAUGCAGCCCUCCAGUCUCCAAAUUGCAAUAACCAUAGAUGUCCUUUAAUGGUGUUAGCAGUGUGCUAAAUUUGAAUUCAUAUGGUACUCCAGAACAAUCUUAAAAGUUGAACCCAAGUUGAAGCUGUGAUGCCUUUGCUACCCCCCACUAUUUUAUCCAUCCAUAAACAGAAAAAAAAAAAAAA